UUGGAGGGCAAGUCUGGUGCCAGCAGCCGCGGUAAUUCCAGCUCCAAUAGCGUAUAUUAAAGUUGUUGCAGUUAAGAAGCUCGUAGUUGAAUUUCGGGGUCAGUAGGUCGGUCGUGCCACUGGUAUGAACUGGUUUUACUGAUUCCUCCCUCUUGAAGAACUGUAAUGCCAUUAAUUUGGUGUUGCAGGGAAUCAGGACUGUUACUUUGAAAAAAUUAGAGUGUUUAAAGCAGGCUUUAGCUUGAAUACAUUAGCAUGGAAUAAUGAAAUAGGACGUUUGAUCCUAUUUUGUUGGUUUCUAGGAUUGACGUAAUGAUUAAUAGGGAUAGUUGGGGGCAUUAGCAUUCAAUUGUCAGAGGUGAAAUUCUUGGAUUUAUUGAAGACUAUCUACUGCGAAAGCAUUUGCCAAGGAUGUUUUCAUUAAUCAAGAACGAAAGUUAGGGGAUCGAAGACGAUCAGAUACCGUCGUAGUCUUAACCAUAAACUAUGCCGACUAGGGAUCGGACGAUGUUAAUUUUUUAAUGACUCAUUCGGCGCCUUACGGGAAACCAAAGUGUUUGGGUUC
rnacentral:rRNA from 1 species